ACCCACACGGAAAAAAUAGAGUGAUGCAUUUCAAUUUAGGAAAAAAUAUAUAUCUCUUCAACGUUCUCUUCAAUAUUCUUUAUGGCAUUUCAACUUUAUAUUCAACAAGUUUGCAUCAGGCAGGCUUACUGAUAGCAUGAUAAUUACCAACCACGCAAACAAACGAAAAAGCAGACAAAAAGAACAGCAGCAUCAUGCAAGGAUGGACUGUAGCAGCCUAACCAGACAUACACAUGGCACAAUGGCCAUGAACGCAGAGCAACCACCAUAGUCGUGGUUCCGUGAAAACGACAAGCUCAGACCAACCACCAGACGCAGGGAGAAGAUUAAGGGAAGG
rnacentral:lncRNA from 1 species